AAGGUGAAAAACCGGAAGAAGAGUUUCGGAUACUUCUUCCAGUCAUUCCGAGAUUUCCCGUGUCUUGAACAGAACACUUGCACUUGCAGAUGCUCUGAUCAGCAAGAGGCGUGCAAAAAAACAAAAAGGUUGGUGCUUCCGAUCUCUGAUCAUCUUGCGGCUAAAGUAGCGGCAAUGGUUGCAGAGGCUUGGAUUUUAAAGAUGGGGAACCAGGUAAGUCACAAUCUCAAGCACGCUCUUUCCCUAGACCCUUCCAAGAGAAAGAACAACAAAAAGCUAGAACAGAAAGAGACUAUUGGCAUUCUCUCUUUUGAAGUCGCAAAUGUAAUGUCGAAAACUCUUCACCUCCACAAAUCCCUAACCGAUCAGGAGGUUUCUAGGCUUAAAAACGAGAUCCUCAAGUCUGAAGGAGUAAGAAACCUUGUCUCCUCUGACGAGUCUUACCUUCUCGAACUCGCCGUUGCUGAAAAGCUCGACGACCUGAACCGUGUGGCUGCUGUUGUUUCUAGAUUAGGGAAGAGGUGUACUGAGCCUGCAUUGCAGGGUUUCGAGCAUGUUUAUGCUGACAUUAUGUCUGGGGUUAUUGAUGUGAGGGAACUUGGCUUCUUGGUCAAGGACAUGGAAGGAAUGAUUAGGAAGAUGGAGAGGUAUGUAACUUCGACUUCGAAUCUUUAUAAUGAAUUGGAGGUCUUGAACGAGUUGGAGCAGGCAACGAAGAAGUUUCAGAAUACCCAACACGAGGAAAGUCGCCGGGCCUUUGAGCAGAAAGUAAUCUGGCAGAGGCAGGAUGUGAGGCAUCUAAAGGACGUUUCACUGUGGAACCAGACGUACGAUAAGAUUGUAGGGUUGUUGGCGAGGACGGCUUGUACAAUUUAUGCGAGGGUCUGUAUUCUGUUUCGCGAAUCUCUUUCAAGGCCUGGCCUCUCUGUUUUAGGGACAGAAUCCUCUACUGGAAGAGAAGGUUCAUCUCCUGCUCAGGAGCAGAGUGGACAACUUUCGGGCCAGAUUGAUGCGCGACGUCAUUUUAAGCUGGCUUCUGAACCGUUACAACCGGCUUCAAGUAAGAGCAAUGCUCAUAAAUCAGGACCUAUUGAGAAAGUUGCAGGGGAGACAAGGCCGACAACUGCUGGGCCGAGGCUGGUAUCACAGAGAAGUGAAGUUAUUUCUUUUCGUGAUGAAGAUUUCAUUUUUCCGUGCGGGGCUAAUCCUGGGAAGCUCUUCAUGGAGUGCCUUAGUUUGAGCAGUUCUGCUUCAAUGUUGGAUGAUGACUAUGAGCAUGAGGACCACAAUAGUCAUUCUUCAGGUUAUCACACUGCUGGAAAUGGGUUGAGGAGGGAGCAUCCAUAUCGAUUUGGUUUCUCUGGUCAAGUUGAAACUGGUGCUGCUUUAAGCAGAGAUCAGAAACAGUCCAAGUGUAGUUUGCCUAGCAAAUCAAUAUUUGGCUUCAAGAGUAGGUCAAUGAUAUAUGCCACUCCUUCCACGGUUGGAGGCUCUGCUCUUGCAUUGCAUUAUGCAAAUGUCAUAAUUGUCAUUGAGAAGCUGCUUCGCUACCCCCAUUUAGUUGGUGAGGACGCCAGGGACGAUCUGUAUCAGAUGCUGCCGACAAGUUUAAGAAUGUCAUUGAGAAUGAGCCUCAAGUCUUAUGUUAAGAAUUUGGCAAUAUAUGAUGCUCCCCUUGCUCAUGAUUGGAAAGAAACACUUGAUAAGAUACUAAAAUGGCUUGCACCUCUGGCACAUAACAUGAUCAGAUGGCAAACUGAGCGUAAUUUUGAGCAACAACAAAUUGUUACGAGGACAAAUGUUCUUCUGCUCCAGACAUUAUAUUUUUCUGAUAGGGAGAAGACAGAGGCAGCUAUCUGUGAGCUUCUUGUUGGUCUGAACUACAUAUGCCGUUAUGAGCACCAGCAGACUGCCUUACUGGAUUGCGCAAGCAGUUUUGAUUUUGAUGAUUGUGUGGAAUGGCAUUUAAAACACUGAUCUUUGUACAUUCUGUGACCGAGUGGGCAAUGGUGGAGACUAUUCUGUGACUUUUGAUGCUUGUUUCUGGACAUUCCUUGACUUUUACACAAUGUGGAUACAGAGUUUGGCACUUGGAAGUGUUACAUGAUGUACAAUACAGUUACUGAUUGUAUUUUGCUUGUGAGAUUUCUUACUCCAGCAUAAAGGUUGACAUGAGACUUAAAGAGAGCCCUUGAAAAAAGAUGCAAUUUUGAAUAUGCAGGGACAUAAGAUACCUGUAUAUUUAUAUAUUUUUUUUAUCUGCGUCAUAUAAUGUUGAAAGCUGAUGAUGAGAUUGCUUUGUGGUUCUCUAAUAGCUAUAUAAAGCCAUUUGAUGUUGGAUGCAUCAGUUCCAAGUUGCAACACAUAGCAGCAACUUGCAUUUUCACUGUUGUGUCUUAGCUUGCUGCUGGUGCAAUGGCAGUAGUGCCUUUCAAUCACCAUUCAAAAUAAGGCAGCAUGGAAGUAACAUCAAAGACUAUACAUUACUUUCUAGCUUUAUAGGU